rnacentral:rRNA from 1 species
AAACGAUGAGUGCUAAGUGUUGGAGGGUUUCCGCCCUUCAGUGCUGCAGCUAACGCAUUAAGCACUCCGCCUGGGGAGUACGACCGCAAGGUUGAAACUCAAAGGAAUUGACGGGGGCCCGCACAAGCGGUGGAGCAUGUGGUUUAAUUCGAAGCAACGCGAAGAACCUUACCAGGUCUUGACAUCCUUUGACCACUCUAGAGAUAGAGCUUCCCCUUCGGGGGCAAAGUGACAGGUGGUGCAUGGUUGUCGUCAGCUCGUGUCGUGAGAUGUUGGGUUAAGUCCCGCAACGAGCGCAACCCUUAUUGUUAGUUGCCAUCAUUCAGUUGGGCACUCUAGCAAGACUGCCGGUGACAAACCGGAGGAAGGUGGGGAUGACGUCAAAUCAUCAUGCCCCUUAUGACCUGGGCUACACACGUGCUACAAUGGGAAGUACAACGAGUUGCGAAGUCGCGAGGCUAAGCUAAUCUCUUAAAGCUUCUCUCAGUUCGGAUUGCAGGCUGCAACUCGCCUGCA